CCACACUUGGCCACAAGUCUCAGGAGAAGCCUGAGCCUAGGAAAAGGUGUAAACCCACCAACUCACCAGGAGCCAGAAACAGCUAUUAAAAGACUCCUUAUAAUGAAGAAUUGAGGUAAAGCAGCAUAUGUUUAACAUCUUUAAGAGCAACAAAAUCAUUGGUUCCUUCAUAUCAUCAAAGAUCCUUUCCUAAAACACAUCAAAUCAGAAAUCUGUGAAGAACAUCUUGGGGUCAGAACUGGCAAAAUACAAGGGAGAAGUUGGAUCUGAAGGUGAAGAUGCUAAGGAAGGUCAGGUAAAGAUCACAAAGAAAAACUGUAAAGAAGAUUUUCAGAACCAAGAACAGUUGGCUUAUUCUGAGUUUAAAACACUGCGUGAAAUCUAAGAACAGACUAGAAGAAUGAUACAAACAUACAGUUGAUAUUUAUAAACAGAAAGGGUGAAGGAGUUGUUAUAAAAAAUCUUUUUAUCGUUCUUCAGAACUGUGAAUCUGAUGCCACAGUAAGUUCCCUACUUACACAGGAAAGGACAGAUUUAACCUCUUCUUGCUUUUAGCCUUCUCUGAAAAGCUUCAAAAAGACUCUCUGCAGAACCACAUCCUUCCAACACUUAAGAAUAUGAUCCCAAACCUAUUAAAGGCAUUUAGCUUAAAAAAUUAUUUAAUUAAAUUGUUUCCAGAACUUCCA